rnacentral:misc_RNA from 1 species
UAUUGUAUUGCGUUAAACGCGUCAUGCAUUCCAUGAGACUUUAUUACAGAGUGUGUGUAAAGACGUAGGACCACAACAGGAGGACAGAGUCCCCCACGCCACGGAACUACAGAGGGUGCACAGGUGUGAGUGGAUGUGUAAACAGAGCGUGCACAUGCCCCCGUUUUGAGGACCAGCAACAACUCGUGUCGACAAUUCAGUAAUGAUCCUUCCGCAGGUUCACCUACGGAAA